GAUGAACGCUGGCGGCGUGCCUAAUACAUGCAAGUCGAGCGAACAGACGAGGAGCUUGCUCCUCUGACGUUAGCGGCGGACGGGUGAGUAACACGUGGAUAACCUACCUAUAAGACUGGGAUAACUUCGGGAAACCGGAGCUAAUACCGGAUAACAUGUUGAACCGCAUGGUUCAACAGUGAAAGACGGUCUUGCUGUCACUUAUAGAUGGAUCCGCGCCGCAUUAGCUAGUUGGUAAGGUAACGGCUUACCAAGGCAACGAUGCGUAGCCGACCUGAGAGGGUGAUCGGCCACACUGGAACUGAGACACGGUCCAGACUCCUACAGGAGGCAGCAGUAGGGAAUCUUCCGCAAUGGGCGAAAGCCUGACGAAGCAACGCCGCGUGAGUGAAGAAGGUCUUCGGAUCGUAAAACUCUGUUAUUAGGGAAGAACAAAUGUGUAAGUAACUAUGCACGUCUUGACGGUACCUAAUCAGAAAGCCACGGCUAACUACGUG
rnacentral:rRNA from 1 species